UCGAGUUUACAACUCCCAAACCCCAUGUGAACCUUACCAUCACGUUGCUUCGGCGGUCACGCCCCGGCGCCCCCGUGCCCGGAACCAGGCGCCCGCCGGAGGACCAUCAAACUAUUGUUGUAUCUAGUGGCAUUGUCUGAGUGGCGUAAAGCAAAUCAAUCA
rnacentral:misc_RNA from 1 species